UACGGAGGGUGCAAGCGUUGUCCGGAUUUAUUGGGUUUAAAGGGUGCGUAGGCGGCAGAUUAAGUCAGCGGUGAAAUUCCACAGCUCAACUGUGGAACUGCCAUUGAUACUGGUUUGCUUGAGUACAGAUGAGGUAGGCGGAAUUGACAGUGUAGCGGUGAAAUGCUUAGAUAUUGUCAAGAACACCUAUUGCGAAGGCAGCUUACUAAGCUGUAACUGACGCUGAGGCACGAAAGCGUGGGGAUCAAACAGG
rnacentral:rRNA from 1 species